rnacentral:lncRNA from 1 species
GACGUUACUAUAGUCCCUUGUGGUCAUGUGCUUUGUCGUAGAUGCUCGUCUGCAGUUUCCAGGUGUCCGUUCUGUCGGCUUCAAGUCUCUAAGGUUAUGAGAAUGUUCCGGCCCUGAAUACAUUAUUGCUCCAAAUUACCUACCUUCCUAUCGUGAACUUCAUUGGUGUUAUUCAUUUGCCUGGUAUGAUAUCCUUUGCUAAAGGAUAAUUGAUGCAGUUUUGAAGGGUCUCUAUUUGAGAGAUACUUGAAUUAUUCUCCCAGUUGCCAAGGAGCUUUACUUUGGAUACCAUAUUAAACUAUUAAAGCCCCGAUUUAUUUCGUGUCAAAAAAGAAAUUCUUGCAGCUGACAGCUAAAGCAGCAUGGUUGUGCCGCAUCUGUCUGAACACUGAAAUUGACGUUACUAUAGUCCCUUGUGGUCAUGUGCUUUGUCGUAGAUGCUCGUCUGCAGUUUCCAGGUGUCCGUUCUGUCGGCUUCAAGUCUUUCCGGCCCUGAAUACAUUAUUGCUCCAAAUUACCUACCUUCCUAUCGUGAACUUCAUUGGUGUUAUUCAUUUGCCUGGUAUGAUAUCCUUUGCUAAAGGAUAAUUGAUGCAGUUUUGAAGGGUCUCUAUUUGAGAGAUACUUGAAUUAUUCUCCCAGUUGCCAAGGAGCUUUACUUUGGAUACCAUAUUAAACUAUUAAAGCCCCGAUUUAUUUCGUGUCAAAAAAGAAAUUCUUGCAGAUGGAGCGGUAUAUAGAGAGCUCCACUUUUGAGUUACUUGUAUAGAUAGGGCAUCUCAUAUUCUAAUCAUGUACGAAAAUUUUGUUUAUAAGGUCUAAUCAUGUACAGAAAUUUGCGAUGAUGUUCUAAAUGAUGUUAGAAAUCAAAUCAGAACUGAAAAAUUUAUGUUUUUAUAGCAUCGUGUUUUAUUGCGGCCAAACGCACACGCACGUGCACACGAUCGUCAAGUAAUAAAGUGAUAAAAUAGAGUAUUGAACCCACGAAAAUUUGUGAUCAACUGUUAACUAGAUCAGACUAUUUUAACUAUCUGAAUAAGGAUUAAACCCAGAAGUAUUUGAAUCUAAACUAACUAAAACAAAAGGAAAACAAAUAAUGAACUUCAAACAUAGG